GCUCCUCCCCGCCUGUCAUGUCGUACUGCCGCCGCUUCGCCGCGUUGCUCAGAACCGCAUACGCAUUCCCAAUCUCUGAAGGGAGGACAGCAACAUAUAUCCAGCAGGACAGAAACGUGGAGAGAUGGAUCCAAACGUCAGGAUUAAACCUCUGUGAUCAUCUGCAGAACUCAGAUGUUUUUCUGCCUUGAUCGGUCAUUUUCUGAAAACAGUCGCUUGGUUUCCAGCGUUAGCGUCUCUCAGCCUCACGGGAAGAGCCAAAGAUAAACUGGUUCCCACAGAAACGGCUACACACAGGUGGGGUUCAAGGUUCAUGUUAACAGUGUUUCUGCGCUGAUC